rnacentral:tRNA from 1 species
GCUCCUAUAGCUCAGUCGGUAGAGCGUGCGGCUGUUAACCGCAAGGUCGGCAGUUCAAGCCUGUCUGGGAGCG